rnacentral:lncRNA from 1 species
CAUCUCCACAGCUGCCCUCGCCGCAGUCCUCCCUACUGUUGGAGAAGAUGCCCCCAAUAACUGGGGUGUCUCGAGCUAGUGGACACAUCAUGGAGCUGGGUGAGAGUGGACUGUGUCAUUAAGAUCCUCCCAUGGCCUCAUCCUGUGCUGGCCAUCGCUAUGCGUCCAGUAAGGAGGUAGAACACUGGAUGAGCCACAGAAAGCACACAGGACUUUGCUGUGGAAGAGUCAAAGAUCCACGUGGGAGCAUCCCGUAGGGGACUUGCGUUUCAGAUCAGAUGAUGCUUUUCAUGUAUGUCCAGCAGCAAGAGAGUCCUUCACUGGUGAAAAAUCACGGGCCUCAGAGCAGAUUUUAGUUCAUCUUUCAUUUCAAAGCACUCCUUAGAUAUCUGCAAAUUAAAUCCCCUAAUUUGGUGAGGACGCCCAGCUUCCCAAAUAACAAGGCUUUUCCUUUGAUUCUAACCAAGUGAGCCGGCCCUGCAAAAGCCGGGGUGCGUGUUCUGGCUCCAGGCUUCUGAGCAGCCUUUCUCCCCACGCUGCAGCUUUUCAGUUAGGAAGUCAGAGAGAAGGAAAGAGAACUAUUUCCAAUUCAAUCACGAGCAUGUCUACGCACCACUGAAGACAGACCUUUGUCCUGUUGCUUUCCAAACUUUAAAUGUGAAUUUUUCUUCUUAUGAUGACUGGUGUACUC